rnacentral:rRNA from 1 species
GACGAACCGCCCUAACGUUGUUCGGAAUCACUGGGCUUAAAGGGCGCGUAGGCGGCGUGACAAGUCACUUGUGAAAUCUCCGGGCUUAACCCGGAGCGGCCAAGUGAUACUGUCGUGCUAGAGUGCGGAAGGGGCUACUGGAAUUCUCGGUGUAGCGGUGAAAUGCGUAGAUAUCGAGAGGAACACCUGCGGCGAAGGCGGGUAGCUGGGCCGACACUGACGCUGAGGCGCGAAAGCCAGGGGAGCAAACGGG